ACUGGCAAGGAUGACACACUUGCCCUCUCUUAGACCUAGGUCAUUGAUGAGAGCAUCUAAUUGUUCUGAGCCAGU
rnacentral:snoRNA from 1 species